AUGAAGUCAUAGAGAUAAGAGGAUGUGGGAGACAUAUUGAAUGCUCUUCUGUAUAAAUUCUACACAGGUUAAACAGACUGAUGAGAUUCAUCGAUCUACAUUUUUGCUAACAAGAAAAAAUUCAAUCAAUCAAUCAAUCAAUCAAUCAAUAAAAGGAAGAAGGUAGUCCAAAACAGAGGAUAACUUCUUCCCGAGCACUCUGACACCGAACGUGGGUUUUCCAGACCCGACAAUCUCUUAAGUUUCUGCAUACACCAGCUGGCUGUCUACAAGGUAAUUCAAUUCUGACACUAACUACACGGCGGAGCUAGCACAGAUCCCAGUGGGUAAGGGCUCUGUUUCACAAGACUGUCCCCACUUCACUCACCAAUUCCAAGUCUCAGGCCUCCCCUACUUUUGACAGACUGGCUCUGAGUCAGGGGUGUCCACGAUCCCCUCCUCGGGAUCCAUAAUUUGCUAGAACAGCUCACAGAAUGCAGGAAGGCACUUUACGUACUACUCCUGAUUUAUUACAAAGGCUACAACUUAGGAACAGCCAAAAGGAAGAGAUACAGAAGGCAAGUAAUGGGGCGAGAGGGGCUGUGCACUGAGCGGACCAAUGUCCUCUCUGGUCACAGCACCCUCCCAGUACUUCAGCGUAUUCGCUAACCCAGAAGCCCUGCAAACCCCACUGUUUGGGAUUUUUACAGAGGUUCCAUUAAGUGGACACAAUUGAUUAAAUCAUGGGCCAUUGGCGAUUAAUUUAAUCUUCAGUACCCCUCCUUUCCUCUCCCCAGAGCUAGGGAGCAGGGCUGGAAGUUCCAACCCUCCAAUCACAUGGUUUCCUGAGGAAAUGGGGGGGGGCAGUCUGAAGCUAUCCAGGGCCCCAAGAGUUACCUUAUUUGCAUACAAAAAGAGUCUUCUCACUCCAGAGAUUACAAGGGUUUUAGAACUGGGAAAGAUCAGUGUCAUAACAGAAAGAUACCCUUAUUUCUCAGGAAAUUACAGGGGUUUUAGAAGCUCUUGUGGCAGA